rnacentral:pre_miRNA from 10 species
UGUGUGUGUGUGUGUGUGUGUGUGUGUGUGUGUGUGUGUGUGUCAUUCCGUGGUCACACGGCCACAUCUCACCGACCCUCUCACAUUGAG